UAGAUCCCUCCUCAAAAAUUCCUAUUGUCUGUGCUACAAAUUAGCGUCUUCUCUAAAAGGCACUAACCUCUAAUUGUCUGUAUUUUCUCACAGUGCUGCCUUGAUUGAUAAAUUUUCUGGGAGCCGAGCUCCAAUACCUAGUCAGUUGCAUCGGGAGGACGAAGUCUAUUUCUGAUGGUGGUGCGUGAAAGGCUUCCGCUCUUCUAAAGGAGUGUGACACCAACAGGUCGAGUGGGACCUUGGGAUAUGACGUGUGGUCAGAGAAACCUAACCAAGUCAUAUUCUGGGCCUGCCCAGCCCGGCUGGAUGAAGUGUGACUCAUCCGAAUGCCUUGGAGAGAGAAGUGACAGGUGGAUCCUUGGAAGGACCCUGAGAGGAGUGCACAGUGGGACCCUGGCUCCAUGUUUUCACACGGGGACUGGGCUUUCAGGGAAGUCCCUAUUGAGAAGGCACACUGCAAAUACAUCUGCCCAUAUGGUUAUAACAGCCAGGGACCGGGUCAAGUUUAUGGAGAGGAUACAGAGAAAAUGAGAAAAGAAAAGCUGACAGCACUAGAGUAUGAAGAAGGGAGGACGUACAAGAAGAGAAGGAAACUAGAUGGGAGAGCCCACAGCAGAAAUGUCUGAAUGCCACCACGCCCAGCUCCGGGCCCAGCAGCCAUCUCUCUCUCUCAUGGGCAAAUUCAUGUAACCAAUGUUAGGGACUUCCUGCUAAGUUCUAGGCCCAGAGGACACAAGGAUGAGCAAAAUGGACAUCACUGCUACUCAACCAAAGUUCACUCUGGAGGGGAAACAGAAAUAGAGGCAGGACAAUGAGGCUCACAAGGAGGACAUCAGGCCCUUAGGAUGAAACUGUACCGACAGACAUAUCGAGGCCACCCCACCAGCACAGCAGCCUUCUGGUUUGUAGCCCAUCUAUAGGGGACCCAGCCUGAGGAAAAUGCCCCUCCAAACUUUUCUCACCCCAAACCUGGGCCCUGGCUUUGGGCCACAAUCCCUAAAACCUAGCGUUGGGCUCCCACCCUAACUCACCUCAUUUCUCCCUUGGCUUUUCCCUACACUGACCAUCUCUCAGGAUAUGGGCCUUUUCAUCCUUUCCCUGCCUCUUCCUUGCCCACCCAGAAUCUUUGGGAGCAGCAAGAGCAAGAGAAGAAGCCAACGGCUGUCAUUUGCCAUGGGUUUGUGAAAGGCUAUGUCCUCCAGUCUUGCUGACAAAGGAAGGAGGUAGGCAAAGAACGGGAGUCAGCGUAAGGUCACAGCUUCUGGACACUCUGCAGCACACAGAGGUCAAGAGCCUGAAGGCGUUAACCGUUCACGCUGGAAAGCUGAGGAUGUGGCCUGUCGAGGCUCUGCAUGGCGAGCUAUCUUUUGGCCCUUCUGGUUGCCUCGGCAAGUUGCAGACACCGUCUCCCAGAGCUCCGGGCCUCUGUACGGUCUCCAUGUGCACGUGGCUGCAAUGCCCCUUCUCUGAGCUCUCUCCUGCUCAUCCAGCGCCAGAUGCCAACUCCUCCAUCAAAUGAGCCUCCAUGAUGCUCAGAGGCUGGGCCGCCCCUUCUCCUCUGCCCCCCAACACCAGGUCGUCUCCCUCCCUAAUCCCCACCCCCAGACUCAGCAAAGGGGGGGGGCCGGCUCCACAAGCCAAAAGGGGUGGGGGAGAGGGAGCAGGGAGGGGAGGCUGGGAACGCAGAGCCCCGGCCCCCUCCACAUCCGCUGCUGCAAUCACAGCCCACCCCCAGCUGACAAAAGGCCUUGUCAGAGCCAAGGGGUCUGGUGCCAGCCCCGCCCCUUGGAGCAGCGACAGCCGUGUGCUACAUUUGCCCAAUUCUGCAGCUGGGCUAAUUACUGUGGUUCCCGAGCUUGGGGUCCAGCCCCAAACCAAACAAAUUAGGACAAAAACCAUAGGCUUCUUCAUCCCUCUCAUUCCCAGCCAGCAAUUGCUGAAGGACCCCUAUAAUUGAUGACAAUGAAAUAAAACCCCACCACCUGUCCUUACUCCUAAGGACUUGGGAGCCCGGCCAAUACCUCGGCCCACCCCUCCGUGGCCACAGCAACGUGGAGUUGCGCAAUGCUGCAUUCCCAGUGCCAGCAUCACCCCGGGAACAACCUGGGGCCCGUCCCGGCCCACGACAUGAUCCAGCCCAGAAGAAUAAUGCAGCUGGCGGGCAGGUAAGAGGUGAGUGGACUUGCGGCCAGGA